rnacentral:misc_RNA from 1 species
AUGAAGAACGUAGCGAAAUGCGAUAAGUAGUGUGAAUUGCAGAAUUCAGUGAAUCAUCGAAUCUUUGAACGCACAUUGCGCCUUCUAGUAUUCUGGGAGGCAUGCCUGUUUGAGCGUCAUUAAACCUCUCUCAAGUAUGAUUACUUGGAUGUGAAGGAAGAGUACCUUAAACUUAAGGAGUGUUCUCCUUUGAAAUUGAUUAGCAGAUGGUAAUGUUAUUAAAUCCCUGAUGUUGUAAGAAAUAACAGUGGUUUUGUAGACUAUUAUCUAGCUUUAAAUUAUAAUUUUUAUUAUGGUUGACCUCAAAUCAGGUAAGGAUACCCGCUGAACUUAAGCAUAUCAAUAAGCGGAGGA